UUGUUCGGAUACGCUGGGCGUAAAGCGUGCGUAGGCCGUUUCGUAAGUCGUGUGUGAAAGGCAGGGGCUCAACCCCUGGAUUGCACAUGAUACUGCGAGACUAGAGUAAUGGAGGGGGAACCGGAAUUCUCGGUGUAGCAGUGAAAUGCGUAGAUAUCGAGAGGAACACUCGUGGCGAAGGCGGGUUCCUGGACAUUAACUGACGCUGAGGCACGAAGGCCAGGGGAGCGAAAGGGAUUAGAUACCCCUGUAGUCCUGGCAGUAAACGGUGCACGCUUGGUGUGCGGGGAAUCGACCCCCUGCGUGCCGGAGCUAACGCGUUAAGCGUGCCGCCUGGGGAGUACGGUCGCAAGAUUAAAACUCAAAGAAAUUGACGGGGACCCGCACAAGCGGUGGAGUAUGUGGCUUAAUUCGAUGCAACGCGAAGAA
rnacentral:rRNA from 1 species